UACAGAGGGUGCGAGCGUUGUUCGGAAUUAUUGGGCGUAAAGCGCGCGUAGGCGGCCCGGUAAGUCCGUUGUGAAAGUCAAAGGCUCAACCUUUGAACGCCGAUGGAUGCUGCCGGGCUAGAGUCCGGAAGAGGCGAGUGGAAUUCCUGGUGUAGCGGUGGAAUGCGCAGAUAUCAGGAGGAACACCAAUAGCGAAGGCAGCUCGCUGGGACGGUACUGACGCUGAGGCGCGAAAGCCAGGGGAGCAAACGGG
rnacentral:rRNA from 1 species